rnacentral:rRNA from 1 species
AACGAACGCUGGCGGCAUGCCUAACACAUGCAAGUCGAACGAAGCCUUGGGGCUUAGUGGCGCACGGGUGCGUAACGCGUGGGAAUCUGCCCUUGGGUUCGGAAUAACAGUUAGAAAUGACUGCUAAUACCGGAUGAUGUCUUCGGACCAAAGAUUUAUCGCCCAAGGAUGAGCCCGCGUAGGAUUAGGUAGUUGGUGGGGUAAUGGCCCACCAAGCCGACGAUCCUUAGCUGGUCUGAGAGGAUGAUCAGCCACACUGGGACUGAGACACGGCCCAGACUCCUCCGGGAGGCAGCAGUGGGGAAUAUUGGACAAUGGGCGAAAGCCUGAUCCAGCAAUGCCGCGUGAGUGAUGAAGGCCUUAGGGUUGUAAAGCUCUUUUACCAGGGAUGAUAAUGACAGUACCUGGAGAAUAAGCUCCGGCUAACUCCGUGCCAGCCGCCGCGGUAA